AACGAACGCUGACGGCAUGCCUAACACAUGCAAGUCGAACGAGACCUUCGGGUCUAGUGGCGCACGGGUGCGUAACGCGUGGGAAUCUACCCUUGGGUUCGGAAUAACAGUUAGAAAUGACUGCUAAUACCGGAUGAUGACGUAAGUCCAAAGAUUUAUCGCCCAAGGAUGAGCCCGCGUAAGAUUAGCUUGUUGGUGGGGUAAUGGCCUACCAAGGCGACGAUCUUUAGCUGGUCUGAGAGGAUGAUCAGCCACACUGGGACUGAGACACGGCCCAGACUCCUACGGGAGGCAGCAGUGGGGAAUAUUGGACAAUGGGCGAAAGCCUGAUCCAGCAAUGCCGCGUGGGUGAUGAAGGCCUUAGGGUUGUAAAGCUCUUUUACCAGGGAUGAUAAUGACAGUACCUGGAGAAUAAGCUCCGGCUAACUCCGUGCCAGCAGCCGCCGUAA
rnacentral:rRNA from 1 species